ACUUACACAGAUGUUUUGCGUAUUUGCUUUACUCUAAGAGCUAUUUUUAAAAAAUGCUUUUCACAGGUCCAAAAAAAAAUGAAUCCACUGAUGAAACUCUGAUGAUCCUUCAUUCAGAGAACCCACCAGGAGACCCUGAUGUUAUAGCCUCUUCUGUACACUGUGUCUGGCUUGUGGUGUCCUCUCGACAUGAUGAUAAAGAAAGAGAAGUUGACAGACCUGUGCUAAAUACAAAGAACAGACAAACCAGGGUCAGUAAGCAAAAAGAAUGAAUGAACUCCGUGGUAGACUGCUGUAUAUUUGGUGAUGCUUUCUUGGGAAGCACAAUGAGAAGACACCGGAGGUGAGGUCAGACUGUCAGACCCUUAUUUGUCCAACAAUGGGUAAAUCACAGUGCUGCAAGCAAGAUAAGCAUGGGAAUGAGAAGCAUCAUUAAUGCGCCACCCAAGAUGUUCUAUCCAAAUGUAGGACAGAGGAGAUCAGAUUUCAGCAAUUUGCCAACCUUGAGUUCUUUAAGAAAUCCCAAGUGCUCAACAGAGGCAAUGUCUCAAGUGACUGCUCUCUGUGGUGCUGUGCACCGUUACAUGUACAUGUGAACCGAAGUUCCUCUAUUUAUUUUCUGCCUUUAUUCUAUGGUGUCACAUGUCAGCAGCUAUCUUGUGACUGAAGAAACAUCUUCAGAUUUUGAGAGGGAUUUUCAAGGCGGAAAGAUUCAUCAAAUGAUUCAGCAAGACAUCUUCAUCCACACCAAAGUUUGAGGCUGUAUUCGGCAAUGAAGGCUUCAACUGAUGUGAAUGUGCUACCUGCUCCCGUCUAAACAGACUACGCUGAGGACUUCUGGUUAUUCCCCCCACCAAAAGAAAGUGUGGCAGGUGUUUGCUAAGAGGUUAUUUAAAAUAUAUUGCAAUCUAUGAUGUGAUUGCAUUUUUUAUUUUAUAGAGCAACCAGUCAGGGCAAAAAAAAUGAAUGGGUUUUCUGUUCAGAGACAACACCCUUGGGAUCACUGUGGCAAGAACUGUAUAAGUGCAAUAAAGGAUCAUCUCUGAAGAAAUUAUAUCUGAAAAGGUGAAGGAGUGAACAGGAAAAAUAAAGAGGCUGUCUGACUAAUCACCAGGCCCACGUCUACAGGGGUACAAAAGGAUGCUGAGCAAUCUCAUUUAAAAGUGUUUGUAUGUAAAAUAAUGACAGAUAAAAUGGAAGAGUAUUGUUUGCACCCCUUUGAAACUCGGAUGCACCCUGAGUCAGUUAGGUCCCACACCUGAACCAAACACCACAUCACACAGGUUCUACAACAACCCCACGGGCUCUCCAUCUGACUGAAACCUCCUCAUUCACACAGUUUAGACAAAGCACCUUCGCCAUUGCUCCUCCUACUCUCUCCCCCUCCAUUUUAGAAAUUUGGACACACUUAUCACCUUUAAAAGACUGCCCCCACCUCCUCGACACUGCCUUUGAUGCACACUUCUCUUUGAAAGGAAUAUUCUGACUUUGUUUAAAGUUGUCAACUAGUAAACAAA